GAUGAACUGUGGGUAGCGGAGAAAUUCCAAUCGAACCCGGAGAUAGCUGGUUCUCUCCGAAAUAGCUUUAGGGCUAGCCUUGAAAUAGAUUACCGGAGGUAAAGCACUGAAUUGGCUAGGGGCCGAGAGGUUACUGAACCUUAUCAAACUAAGAAUGCCGGAUAAUCGUUUUUCAGGAGUCAGACAGUGGGAGAUAAGUUUCAUUGUCAAAAGGGAAACAGCCCAGACCCACAGCUAAGGUCCCCAAGUAUAGUUAAGUGGAAAAGGAUGUGGAAUUGCACAGACAACCAGGAUGUUGGCUUAGAAGCAGCCACUCAUUAAAAGAGUGCGUAAUAGCUCACUGGUCGAGUGACUCUGCGCCGAAAAUUUAACGGGGCUAAACUAUACACCGAAGCUUGGGAUACAUCUAAUGUAUGGUAGGAGAGCGUUCUGUAUGGGGAGAAGUCGUAGCGAAAGCGGCGGUGGACUAUACAGAAGUGAGAAUGCCGGAAUAAGUAGCGAGAAUUAAGUGAGAAUCUUAAUGGCCGAAAGUCUAAGGUUUUUGGAGGAAGGUUCGUCCGCUCCAAGUAAGUCGGGAGCUAAGGUCAGGCCGAAAGGCGUAGCCGAUGCACAUACGGUUGAUAUUCCGUAACCAUCUGUAAUUUAAGCAAAGGGACACUUCAAAAGGGUGUGACCCGGGCGUUGGUUGACCCGGGCGUAAGGGACCGAAAUUAGAGUAGGGAAGCACACUUGGCUGAAGGCGAGAAAAGCUUUGCGUAUAGAAGCAGAUGCCCGUACCGCAAACCGACACAGGUGGACAGGAAGAGAAUUCUAAGGCCAGCGGGAGAAGGGUAGUUAAGGAACUCGGCAAAUUGACUCCGUAACUUCGGAAUAAGGAGUGCUCGAAAGAGCCGCAGAGAAUAGGCCCAGGCGACUGUUUAGCAAAAACACAGGUCUCUGCCAAAUCGAAAGAUGAAGUAUAGGGGCUGACACCUGCCCGGUGCUGGAAGGUUAAGAGGAGAUGUGCAAGCAUUGAAUUGAAGCCCCAGUAAACGGCGGCCGUAACUAUAACGGUCCUAAGGUAGCGAAAUUCCUUGUCGGGUAAGUUCCGACCCGCACGAAUGGUGUAACGAUCUGGGCACUGUCUCAACUACCCACCCGGCGAAAUUGUAGUACCGGUGAAGAUGCCGGUUACCUGCGGCAAGACGGAAAGACCCCAUGGAGCUUUACUGUAGCCUGAUAUUGGGUUUCGGAAAUCUAUGUACAGGAUAGGCGGGAGACUAGGAAACAUGAGCGUCAGCUUGUGUGGAGUCGAUGUUGGGAUACCGCCCUUAGGUUUCUGGAAUUCUAACCUGCGGCCGUGAAUCCGGUCGGGGGACAUUGUCAGGUGGGCAGUUUGACUGGGGCGGUCGCCUCCGAAAAGGUAACGGAGGCGCUCAAAGGUUAGCUCAGCACGGACGGAAACCGUGCCUCUGAGUGUAAACGCAAAAGCUAGCCUAACUGCGAGGGUGACGGCCCGAGCAGUAACGAAAGUUGGAGUUAGUGAUCCGGCGGUAUGUGAAUGGAAAUGC
rnacentral:rRNA from 1 species